AGUCAGUGAUGACAUCCUCAUCUGUAGCAGAAACUGUUACACUUCCUGCUGAUGAAGGAUGCCCUCUCGAAUUGAUUGGAAGCAUAUUUAGAGCCGGUACUGUCCCAACAACAUUGCUGGGAGCAAGACACUCUUGAUAUUGAAUCCUCUCUCUCUUCUCCCAAUUUGCAACAAUAGACCGUGUCCUUGCUCUUCUUUGACCUUCCAUGGGAUUAACACUCCUAACAACAUUUCCACGUGCUUCAUAAUUUUCAUUUUGGUUUCUGGAAAGUAACUCAGGUGCUGAAUGCAUUUCAGGUUUUGUUGAAACAAAACUAUUGUCAUCCUUCACAUUCCUCUCAGUUGCUGCAGCUCCAAGUAUUGAGCAUUUAACUGAAGGGAAAAUGUUCUUGUCUGCUAUACUGCUGAACUCAAUAGCCUUAGGGACUUCAAUGUCAGACUGUGACACAGCAUUUGACCUCCCAAGGUCUUCCUUGAGAGUUGGAAACUUCCGUAAAUCAGAGACUUUUGUCUGCGAUAACUGCUGUAUUGCCCUUGUUGCGGUUCCUUCUUUCCUGGGUUCAGAUGCUUGCUCCAUUCUGUCAUUAUUUCUAGGCACGAUAACAGGUAUGAUCUCUGAUCUAUUGAUAAUGGAAGAAUUUGCUGUUGAUUGGGCUUUAGCUGAAUUCCUCUUCAAAACAGUUGUAUUUGGAACUGCUGUUGUAUUAAUUGGAGCUGCUUUCGAGCCAACACUCAGAUUUAUU
rnacentral:misc_RNA from 1 species